GGAUUGUGGCUCAGCGGUAGAGCGCUCCCCUAGCAAGGGCGGGAUCCGAGUUCGAUUCUCAGCACCA
rnacentral:tRNA from 1 species